rnacentral:tRNA from 1 species
UGGCGAAAUUGGUAUACGCAUCACACUCAAAAUGUGACGACUUUGGUUAUAAGGGUUCGAUUCCCUUUCUACCCAAUUAUAU